CUCACCCACCACUCUGUUAGUAUUGGCACUCACUCACCACAUGACUGCCAGGCCUGUUCCACUCAUCCACCACUCUGUUAGUAUUGGCACUCACCACAUGACUGCCAGGCCUGUUCCACUCACCCACCAGUCUGUUAGUAUUGGCACUCACUCACCACAUGACUGCCAUGCCUGUUCCACUCAUCCACCACUCUGUUAGUAUUGGCCCUCACUCACCACAUGACUGCCAGGCCUGUUCCACUCACCCACCAGUCUGUUAGUAUUGGCACUCACUCACCACAUGACUGCCAGGCCUGUUCCACUCACCCACCACUCUAUUAGUAUUGGCACUCACUCGCUACAUGACUGCCAGGCCUGUUUCACUCAUCCACCACUCUGUUAGUAUUGGCACUCACUCACCACAUGACUGCCAGGCCUGUUCCACUCAUCCACCACUCUGUUAGUAUUGGCACUCACUCACCACAUGACUGCCAGGCCUGUUCCACUCACCCACCACUCUGUUAGUAUUGGCACUCACUCAGCACUCGACUGCCAGGCCUGUUCCACUCAUCCACCAGUAUGUUAGUAUUGGCACUCACUCACCACAUGACUGCCAGGCCUGUUCCACUCAUCCACCACUCUGUUAGUAUAGGCACUCACUCACCACAUGACUGCCAGGCCUGUUCCACUCAUCCACCAGUCUGUUAGUAUUGGCACUCACUCACCACACGACUGCCAGGCCUGUUCCACUCAUCCACCACUCUCCACUGGACCCACCCAUAGGCAAGUGUUCCAGGAGGCAAGAAGGAGUGAGUCUACACCAUGGAACCUUGACAGACCUCCUCCUCCUGCCUUCAAGUUUGGCCAAGAUGUGUGAAGAAGAAGAAGAGGAAGAAGAAGAAGACUCCGCUCACAGGGAAGAUAUUCUGUGUCCCCGCUUGACCUCAUUGGAGUAGAUAAGAUGAAGAAGAGGAGGAGGAGGAGGAGGAGGAGGAACAGGACAUUCAGCAUUCCAAAGAUCCAGCACAGCCUCGGCCCUGAUGAAAGCGCUGUAGUGAAGUCAGCGUUCCGCAUUGAUCCCCAUACUGGGACGCUGACCCUGGCCGCCCCACUGGACCGCGAGACCAUGGCCCAGUACUCCUUCACUGUCACGGACCCCAAGCCUCCGUUCACCAGCACCAGAGUCACUGUACUGGUCCAGGACUACAAUGACAACCCUCCGGUGUUCGCCAAAGACACUUACGUCACUGCUGUGCCUGAGGACACGGUCGCGGGCACGGCGGUUGUGACGCUCAGCGUGAUGGACGCUGAUGAGUCUGUGGCCGAACUGGACUUCUUCAUUACCAGCGGCGACCCUGACAGCUAGUUCCUGGUGCGCGCCUCAGGGGAGGGCAGUGGUUGACUGGCUGGCCACUCUAUCUCAGCAAGGGACUGGAAGCUGGAACUCUCUCUCUCUCUUCUUCCCUUCCCUCUCUAUCUCUUCCCUUCCCUUCCCCUCCCCUCCCCUUCCCUUCCCUUCCCUCCCCUCCC